rnacentral:tRNA from 1 species
UCCUGGGUAGUUUAAUGGUAAAACGCUGCACUGUUAAUGCAGUUACUGUAGGUUCAAUUCCUACCCCAGGAG